ensembl:piRNA 21ur-768 ncRNA
UAAGAGGAAGCCAGCCAUUAA